rnacentral:rRNA from 1 species
AACGAACGCUGGCGGCAUGCCUAACACAUGCAAGUCGAACGAGACCUUCGGGUCUAGCGGCGCACGGGUGCGUAACGCGUGGGAACCUGCCCUUAGGUUCGGAAUAACUCCCCGAAAGGGGUGCGAAUACCGGAUAAUGUCUUCGGACCAAAGAUUUAUCGCCUUUGGAUGGGCCCGCGUUGGAUCAGCGAGUUGGUAGGGUAAAAGCCUACCAAGGCGACGAUCCAUAGCUGGUCUGAGAGGAUGAUCAGCCACACUGGGACUGAGACACGGCCCCGACUCCUACGGGAGGCAGCAGUGGGGAAUAUUGGAGCAUGGGCGAAAGCCUGAUCCAGCAAUGCCGCGUGAGUGAUGAAGGCCUUAGGGUUGUAAAGCUCUUUUAACCGGGAUGAUAAUGACAGUACCGGGAGAAUAAGCUCCGGCUAACUCCGUG